rnacentral:lncRNA from 1 species
UGGGUGUGGAGGAUGGUGAUUUUAAAUAGACUGUUCAAUGUAGUUCUCACUAAGAAAGUCACAUUUAAAAGUGGUCUUGAAGGUAGUUAUGAAGUUAACUUUGUGGAUAUCCGGGGAAAGAUUAUUCCAAAGAAAAUAAUUAGCCAGUCGAAUGGAAAAAAAUGCUUGCCAGUUUUGAGGAAAAACAAGGAGCCCAGAAUAAUCUAAUUGAAAUGAGUGAAAGAAAUGAGAAUAAUUUAUCAGAGAAAUACCGGGAAUCUGAUCUGACAGGUCCUUAGAGGCCACUGUGAGGACUACGUCUCAAUGCAAAUGAACAAUUGGUAAGUUCUGAAAAGAGAACUGAGAUGUCCAAACUUAGCUAGUUAAAAAAAGAAGCAUACCUGCUCUGUAUUUGGUUGAAAAUAGAUGGCAGGAGCGGAAGCUAGUGAGAAGAAACACUUAGAAGAACACUGCAAUAAUCCAAGUAUGGGUAUUAGACCAGCAUUGUAGCAGGAGAUAUGAUGAAAAGACAUUGUAUAUCAGUUAAAUUUUGAAGGUAUCACUAGUAGGAUUUUCUACAGUAUUAGAUAUGGAAGAUAACAUAAUGAAAUAAAUGAAGAUUGACUGCUUGGUUUAUGGCCUGGACAAUUAGAAGGAUAGAGCUGACAUUAACGAAGAUGGGGGAAGUUGAGUAACGACAGGAGCGAAAAUUAGUAGUUAAAAUUUGGACAUGUUACUUUUGACAUGUUUAUUCAAGUAGAAAUUUAGAAUAGUUGGAUAUAUGUUCGGAUUAUUAGAUAGAGGUGAAAGUGGGAGGCAUAAAAUCAGAAAAUUUCAAUCUAUAUCUUAGAUACAGAUAUAGAUAUAGACGUGUAUAGUAACAUGGAAAAUUGCUAAGAAUACCGAGGACCUGAAUUUAACUAGAAAAGAAAAAAGCCUGGACAACUCUAAAACAGAGAGCAAGAAAAGAAGAGAAAGAACCAGUAAAGAAGACUGGGUAAAGUUAAAGAACAACCAACAGAAUAAAGAAUCCUGGAGGCUAAUUAUGAUACUUGUGCCAAACUGAAAGGAAUGAUCAAUAUCCACCACUGACUAAGACACUAACAGGGAGCAGAACCAUUGUCUACAUAUCUGUUAAAUCAUGAGAGAUCUGAAAUAAGACAAACAACAUAGAACAGUGGAAUUGAUUUUGAAAAACGAGGUACUAUUAAACUGUAAUUGUAAUGCAAAGGAUGUGUCCCUUAUAUCUAGAAGUCCCUGCUGCCAGUGAAAAUUGUGGACAGUAAUGAAGAAAUACAAUUUUAAAGGAACUCAUCUUGGAUACUGA